GAUGAACGCUGGCGGCGUGCCUAAUACAUGCAAGUCGAACGCGAGCAGCAAUGCUCGAGUGGCGAACGGGUGAGUAAUACAUAAGUAACCUGCCCUAGACAGGGGGAUAACUGCUGGAAACGGCAGCUAAGACCGCAUAGGUAUGGACACUGCAUGGUGACCAUAUUAAAAGUGCCAAGGCACUGGUAGAGGAUGGACUUAUGGCGCAUUAGCUGGUUGGUGAGGUAACGGCUCACCAAGGCGACGAUGC
rnacentral:rRNA from 1 species